UCUUGAAUUGUGAUUGUUUGUGGACUCUGACUGGGUUAAUGUGAAUUCUAUUUUUGCACUUGCAAUUGGGUAUACGCUUAGUUGCCCAGUUGGUGUUAUAUCUUCGGUUAGUUGAUGUAACUGAAUGGUGUAAUUUAGAUUUGAUAUUAACACUGCGUUCGCUUAGUUCGCUUUUAUGAAAACAGGGUUAUUCUUUGCUUAGUUGGUUAACUUUGUUGGAUUAAAGGUUUGAGUCACAACUUUAUGUUUUGAUCUGUGAUUGGAAACAUUGUAAUUAAGUUAAUGACAAACCGUUUUUAUUCUGUAUGUGAUUUUGUUUUGCAAUUCUAUUUUUACAUUUUUGUUUGCAUCCGUCCUUUGAUUUAAUUCGUCCGCAUUCAAAAACUUUUCACAACCCCCCCCCCCCCAAACUUCGUGUUUGACCGAAGACUUGAACCAUAGUUUGGUGCUUGAGAGACGACCUAGGUGUCACUACCUAGCUAUACUGCAUUUCUAAUAUGCAAUCAAAUUUGUAUGGGCCGUGACACCCAUCAGAUUUUGGCGCCGUUGCCGGGGACCAACGGUUCGGUUUUAGGUCUUUUGUUGUGUUAGUGUGUGUUGUGUUUUGUCUUGUGUUGUGAGUGUGAUGUUCUGUUUUGUGUGUUCGUCAUUGUGUGUUGCAUUUAGGUAGCUUUAGUUGCAUAUUUUCAUUGCAUUCUUCUUUUUCCCCCCUUUACAUGUCUACCUAUUUUGGUUCUGUGAGUAAUGCUUAUUUUGCA
rnacentral:lncRNA from 1 species